rnacentral:sRNA from 1 species
GGAUGCUUGAAGAUGGAAAGAAAUUUGAUUCCUCCCGGGACAGAAACAAGCCCUUUAAGUUUAUGCUAGGCAAGCAGGAGGUGAUCCGAGGCUGGGAAGAAGGGGUUGCCCAGAUGAGUGUGGGUCAGAGAGCCAAACUGACUAUAUCUCCAGAUUAUGCCUAUGGUGCCACUGGGCACCCAGGCAUCAUCCCACCACAUGCCACUCUCGUCUUCGAUGUGGAGCUUCUAAAACUGGAAUGACAGGAAUGGCCUCCUCCCUCAGCUCCCUGUUCUUGGAUCUGCCAUGGAGGGAUCUGGUGCCUCCAGACGUGUGCACAUGAAUCCAUAUGGAGCUUUUCCUGAUGUUCCACUCCACUUUGUAUAGACGUCUGCCCUGACUGAAUGUGUUCUGUCACUCAGCUUUGCUUCCGACACCUCUGUUUCCUCUUCCCGUUUCUCCUCGUAUGUGUGUUUACCUAAACUAUAUGCCAUAAACCUCAAGUUAUUCAUUUUAUUUUGUUUUCAUUUUGGGGUGAAGAUUCAGUUUCAGUCUUUUGGAUAUAGGUUUCCAAUUAAGUACAUGGUCAAGUAUUAACAGCACCAUUUAUGAGUCUCAAGUUUUAUUAUUGCAAUAAAAGUGCUUUAUGCCGGCUUUUCUCA